AGGGUUCGAUUCUGGCUCAGGAUGAACGCUGGCGGCGUGCUUAACACAUGCAAGUCGAACGGGAUCCACCGGGCUUUGCUUGGUGGUGAGAGUGGCGAACGGGUGAGUAAUGCGUGACCGACCUGCCCCAUACACCGGAAUAGCUCCUGGAAACGGGUGGUAAUGCCGGAUGCUCCAGUUGAUCGCAUGGUCUUCUGGGAAAGCUUUCGCGGUAUGGGAUGGGGUCGCGUCCUAUCAGCUUGACGGCGGGGUAACGGCCCACCGUGGCUUCGACGGGUAGCCGGCCUGAGAGGGCGACCGGCCACAUUGGGACUGAGAUACGGCCCAGACUCCUACGGGAGGCAGCAGUGGGGAAUAUUGCACAAUGGGCGCAAGCCUGAUGCAGCGACGCCGCGUGAGGGAUGGAGGCCUUCGGGUUGUAAACCUCUUUUAUCGGGGAGCAAGCGAGAGUGAGUUUACCCGUUGAAUAAGCACCGGCUAACUACGUGCCAGCAGCCGCGGUAAUACGUAGGGUGCAAGCGUUAUCCGGAAUUAUUGGGCGUAAAGGGCUCGUAGGCGGUUCGUCGCGUCCGGUGUGAAAGUCCAUCGCUUAACGGUGGAUCCGCGCCGGGUACGGGCGGGCUUGAGUGCGGUAGGGGAGACUGGAAUUCCCGGUGUAACGGUGGAAUGUGUAGAUAUCGGGAAGAACACCAAUGGCGAAGGCAGGUCUCUGGGCCGUUACUGACGCUGAGGAGCGAAAGCGUGGGGAGCGAACAGGAUUAGAUACCCUGGUAGACGACGCCGUAAACGGUGGAUGCUGGAU
rnacentral:rRNA from 1 species